rnacentral:lncRNA from 1 species
CAAAUCUGGACCAAUCGCUGCGCACCAGACUAAUAACUGGGUUCCCCGUUCGCGACAGAUAUAUCACCAAACACAACACCAUCGCAAAGAUGUCAACAGCAAUAGUUUAUAUUUCGGUCGUGUUCGUUUUCUGUUUCUUUGUUACAACUAGAUCAAAGGAAUUUGAUUAUCGUCAAGAUGUAUGCCAAACAAAAGUGAAUAUUUCAGUGAAUAUUGUACAUGUAUGCCGUUCCAUAAGUUUAAGAAGAUGUGUUGUUCGACUGACAAAAAGGUGAAUUUUCAAGGACUGUUACAGAAAGAAAUGCAAGACACAAACCAAACCAUGAGGGAGCUCCAAGAACAAAUUGUAGAACUACAGAAGAAGAAAAAUAUGUGGGGUAUACUGCUGAUUAUUUCCGGCGCACUCCAUGGAGUAGUAUUCAGCAUUAUUAUCAAGGUCUUUUUACAAGAAGAUACAUAAAAGCCAGACACUCAACAUACCUGCCCAAAAGUGGGACAAAUGACAGUAUCUCGAGACAAGAAGAAUCUGAGGAUCGUGUCGCGUUGAAGCAAAUCGAAGCAGGGAUUCUAAAGUAUAAUGCUGUUGGGACGGAAACAUGUCACCAGUAUAUGAAACAGAAAGGAACUGAAUGAUAACUAUCUAGUGUGGUAAACCUGGGGUUUUGGCAAAGAAAUAGUUUGUUUGUUUUGUAAAUAUUUUUAUGAAUUCACUGUUUUGCAUUGUUUAAAGGAUAGUAGUUUAAAGAGCAUCUUAUUACUGCAACUUUACUGUAAGUUUCAAAAUUAAUCGGGCUGGUAUUGAUAAAGUUAUAGGCAAAAACAUAUUGCAAAUUUUUGCCGACUUGGAACACAGUUGCUGUAAAAUCAAAAGCAUGCUCCUAAAUACGUAUUUUAUAUUUUGCCAUGAUAUUUCUACUUUCAAUAUUUUGUAAAUAUAUGUCUUAACAUUUUUGUAAGUUUAAGGACAUGGCACUAUGUAGCUUUAAAGUAAUCUUGAAAAAUGUUCUAUUGUUUACACUUUGCUAGUCAAUUUCUUGUGUGGCUAAAACUAACCAAUGAAAAUUAUUUCUUAAAAAUACUUUAUAUUAUUCAGGUCUGGAACUUUAUUGUCAUGUCAAGGAUGUUAUAUUUUAGUUACAUUGAAUUUUGUAGAUUUUUAGAAACCUUGUUCUCUUGUAUUCCUUUAAAAAUGGUCCUUAGAUGUGAACAUCUGAUUUUGGGAGAAUUUGUGUCAGUUCUUUGUUGUUUUAGUACUUUUAAAUUGAUAUUUGUAAUUUGAAAUAUACUGAUAAGAUGUAAUUUUUUCUCUAGUUUAUGUAUGUGUACUUGGUUUUUGAUGACAUUUAUUCUAUUUCUUGCAUUAGAUGAGAAAAGUUUUGCAUAUUUUGGUAAAUGUCAUUGACCAAUCAGAUUGCUGCAUUUUUGGUGCUUCUCUAUUAAUAUGGGCUUAUCGGUUAUUUCUUUGCCCUUCUAGUUUACACUUUAGACUUUAACACUUCCUUCUUGGAUUGGAAAUUAUUGAACAUUUAGAGCCAUUUAGGAACUUUGGACUUUAUUUUUAUUGGAGAAUAAAUUAUAAUUUUGAGUUUAAUUUAUUUGCUUAAGAGAAUAUUGAAAUUUAUGUACAUUCUAUUCGGAAUAGUUGUGAAAUUUUCUGAUAAUAUUGACAUAUAUUUUAAUAGAAGGAAAUUUUAGAAUUGGUGUAUAAUAUUAAUUGUAGAAGUUUAUUAGUAGACAUAAUUUAGAUCUUUGUAGUUGUGAAUGUGUGUUUAUGAGAAACUGGACUUUAAGUGCCGUGUGGCGGCUUGUAAAAAGUCUCCCCGUACUUGGAUUCAGUGUUGUUAUAUUUUCUAGGUCCUUUGGGAUCAUGGAGUCAAUUACAACAUAUGUGUAAUAUAGUUCCGCUUAAGCCCGUGUUAGGGGACUUGAGAGGUGUAGCACAUUUCAUUACCUCUCAUGAACAGACUCGAUCAAACCGAGUCAUCCUGAACAUUGAACCCCAAAACCCGAGCAAUAAGAUACUUGCGAUGAACCACAAUUUAGGUCCUUAUUGGAUACUUUACAUGUUUUAGAUAUUACUUUGUGGAGCUAUUCUACUGUGAAGAAUAAGUAAGUUGUAAAUAAAUAAAAUCGUUAUUUUCUGUUUUAGAAAUAUUUUAUAUUGGGGUACAUACGCUCUUAUAUGACUGUAUUUAACAAGACAGUCUUUUUUUUUUUCUUUUAUAUAUAUUUAAGACAAGCGUAAAAUACUUCAAUUUAUUUGUACAAAUCUUAACACUGUAUCGAUCAUAAAUGAUCGUAUACAAAUGUAUAUAAAGAUUUAUUUAUAACAAACCGUUUUUGUAUAUAAACAAUUUUGUAUUUUGUAUUUUGUGUUUCACGCCUAAUCUGUGCUUAUGAAUGACCCCUUAGUGUGUAAUUGUUAUGCUCUUUGUAACUAUUAACUUCAUUUUGCUCCUUAAUUGUCGGGUUUGCUUUUUUGAUAGCGUUAUAAUAUAAAAAGGUAAAUAACUAUCCUAUAACUGAAACCGUGCACUGUGACAUUUUACUGAAACACAUCGCGCCGUGCCAAACUUUGAAUCAAAAGUUACUACACGAUAAAUAACUUAUAAACGGCAACUGGUUAUUUGCACUUCAAAACCCAAAAAACUUAACCCAAAAAAAAACUUAUAUGCGCACUAGAUAUACAUAAUGUAUAAAUAACCAAAUUACUAUAAUUUUAAUUUUAGAUCUUACUAAUGAGGGAAAUGUCAAACAAUUUUAUCGCAUGAGUAUUAUCAUAUGGGACCAAAAUAAUCACGAAAAGACUGUUCUCCUAUUGUCCCGACAUAAAGACGGCAAUUUGUCAAAUAUUGUAGCAUUUACAUUUUAUUAUCAUGUCCCCUUCGAAGAAGGUGGAGUAUAUUGUUUUGCAGAUGUCGGUCGGUCGGUCGGUUGGUGUCGGUCGGUCUGUCUGUCAGUAGACCCGUCCGUUUCAAGAAUAACACAAAAACGCUUUGGCCUAGGAUCAUAAAAAUUGAUAGAGAGGUUGGUCAUGACCAGCAAAUGACUCCUAUUGAUUUUGAUCUCAGUAGGUCAAAUGUUAAGGUCACAGUGACCCGUAACAGUAAAACAGU